UUGUGAGCCCCUCAUUGGGCGCACCUGGACAUCGCCGGGGAGGAUGACCAAUAAGGACGAGGUUCCCUACCUGAAGAAAGGAAUGUCUGGGCGACCGACACGAACACUGGUAGAGUUCGCUGCUGGACUGGCCAACCAAGCCUGAAGACACACACACCA